CCAAUAGCGCAUAUUAAAGUUGCUGCAGUUAAAAAGCUCGUAGUUGAAUUUCGGGACCAUCAUGUCGGUCGUGCCUCGGUACGUACUGGUAUUGUUGGUUUCUCCCUUCUGACGAACCAUGAUGUCAUUUAUUUGGUGUUGUGGGGAAUCAGGACUGUUACUUUGAAAAAAUUAGAGUGUUUAAAGCAGGCUCACGCUUGAAUACAUUAGCAUGGAAUAAUGAAAUAGGACGUUUGAUUCUAUUUUGUUGGUUUCUAGGAUCGACGUAAUGAUUAAUAGGGAUAGUUGGGGGCAUUAGUAUUCAAUUGUCAGAGGUGAAAUUCUUGGAUUUAAUGAAGACUAACUACUGCGAAAGCAUUUGCCAAGGAUGUUUUCAUUAAUCAAGAACGAAAGUUAGGGGAUCGAAGACGAUCAGAUACCGUCGUAGUCUUAACCAUAAACUAUGCCGACUAGGGAUCGGAUGAUGUUAAUUUUUUAAUGACUCAUUCGGCGCCUUACG
rnacentral:rRNA from 1 species